UGGGGAAUAUUGCACAAUGGGCGCAAGCCUGAUGCAGCCAUGCCGCGUGUAUGAAGAAGGCCUUCGGGUUGUAAAGUACUUUCAGCGGGGAGGAAGGGAGUAAAGUUAAUACCUUUGCUCAUUGACGUUACCCGCAGAAGAAGCACCGGCUAACUCCGUGCCAGCAGCCGCGGUAAUACGGAGGGUGCAAGCGUUAAUCGGAAUUACUGGGCGUAAAGCGCACGCAGGCGGUUUGUUAAGUCAGAUGUGAAAUCCCCGGGCUCAACCUGGGAACUGCAUUCGAAACUGGCAGGCUAGAGUCUUGUAGAGGGGGGUAGAAUUCCAGGUGUAGCGGUGAAAUGCGUAGAGAUCUGGAGGAAUACCGGUGGCGAAGGCGGCCCCCUGGACAAAGACUGACGCUCAGGUGCGAAAGCGUGGGGAGCGAACAGG
rnacentral:rRNA from 1 species